GCCGCUGCAGUCUCGGCACAUCGGGCGGCUUUUGGCCGUCGGAAGCCCUGCGGAGCCUGGUUCCAUUCACCCCCCUGGAGCGCCCCGGGCUCCUUCAUCAGCGCCCUUGGGCUGGAACAAAGGCAAGGGGUCGCGCAGCAUCGUCCCAACGGCCCCUUCGCGCAUCUGGCCAAAGCCGGGAGAAAGAGCACCGGGGUCCCCAAGGUAACCAGGACGCGGUACCCGCCCUCCCAGAGCGCAAAGCUCAGCCGCUCCGCGCGCGCUGAGCCGGGAGUCGGGAAGCACCAGAGAUUCCAGCCGCCGCGCCCGCCGAGGGCUCCAAGGGGAAUCCAUCAAAGCCACCCCAGCCCGUGCUGGAGGCUUCUCACCACGGUCUGGUUCACGCUCAGAGGUUUCUUCAUCAUCGUCUGCCCAGCCUGAGGGAAGGUGUCUGUGCCGUGUGGCUGGGGGAGCUCUGUUUCUGCUAUUCCCAAAAGCCAGCUGGUGAGGGGUGCUGCCAGCUUUGGAGGUUCCCUACUCUACCUGCGACCUGGUCCCCUGCUUCGCCCUAGACUCACCAUGAGAGGACAGACACCCACAGUGGGUCCCAGAGAUGGGAAAAAAGAAAGGACUCCAAGGACCACACCCUCUGAACAAGUCAUCACACUUCAAGGAUAUAUGUAUACAGAGCAGUCAUGGUAUACAGUAGAUUCUCAUGAUCUGCGGUAGUCCUGUUCUAAGAAGUCACCCGAACACUGAAUUAGCAAAUACUGAAAACAUUGCUUCUAGGGCAAAUACAGGGUGAGGGGCCUGCGAGCAUCUGGUCACUACAUUUGAUCAACCAAUCAGUACAUUACCCUGUUUUAUGUGUGUUUCUGUUUAAAGACACCUUAUUUAAUAUAUGCUGUUCAUGAAUUAACACUGAACCCACGGCCAGUGGCACUAUAACUCAUGCCUGAAGGAAGCUUAUCUAACACAUGUAUUUUCUUCAUAAGACACAUCCCAGCCGUCUUGAGCUUAGCAUCACUGGACAGCACUUCAGUGCUAGCUUGGGGGGCCAUGUCAAAAAGCAGAAUCACCACCAAAAAGCACAGAAAUGUGGAAAACGUGGCACUAAAUAGAUCGCAGAAAGAGCUGAAACAAGAAAGAAGCACCUCUCCUUGUUUGCCCUCAGCUGGGGAUGUCCGUGUGGGGUGACUCACAUUUUUUGCUGCUCUGCGCGUGUCUGCCAAUGACCACGAAAGUGCCGCAAGUAUGGACUUUUGAGACUGCAAAUAAAUUUUGGGCUGUGGGUCGAAUGGCGUCCCCCUACAAGAUAUGUUGACAUCCUAACCCCUGGUACCUAUGCAUGUGAUCGUAUUUGGAAAUAGUCAUCUGUCCAGAUGGAAUCGGGUUAAGAGGAGGUCAUCAUGGAUUCACGUGCACCCUAAUCCAAUAUGACUGGCUUCCCUAAUAAGAAGAGAAAAGACACAGAGACACACACAGGGAGAAUGCCAUGUGACCGCAGAGGGAGAUCGGAGCGAUACAUGGACAGGCCAAGGAGCACUGAGGAUUGCCAGCAGCGCCAGCAGCUAAGGGAAGGACAAGGAAGAUUCUCUCCUAGAGCCUCCAGAGAGAGCACGGCCCUGCUGACACCUUGAUUUCAGAGUUGUAGCUUCUAGAACGAGGAGGGAAUGAACUCUUGUUGUUUUAAGACACCCAGUUACUGCAAUUUGUUACGGCAGCUCUUGGACUUGUCAUACUUGUGUACUAGAAAGGGCUGAGAGUUUUAAAAAAGAGACAGGAG